rnacentral:rRNA from 1 species
UGAUCCUGCCAGUAGUCAUAUGCUUGUCUCAAAGAUUAAGCCAUGCAUGUGUAAGUGCAAGCCGAACUAAGGCGAAACCGCGAAAGGCUCAUUACAUCAGUUGUGGUUCCUUGGACUGUACCCAGUUACUUGGAUAACUGCGGAAAAUCUGGAGCUAAUACAUGCCGACAGAGUCCCGACCGGAGACGGGAGGGACGCUUUUAUUAGAUCAAAACCAAAUAUCCCCCGGGGGCCUCGCUCCCCCGGCGGGAAACGGUUUAAGGUGACUCUGAAUAACUUUGUGCUGAUCGCACGGCCCUCGCGCCGGCGACGCGUCUUUCAAAUGUCUGCCUUAUCAACUUUCGAUGGUAGGCUCUGCGCCUACCAUGGUUGUAACGGGUGACGGGGAAUCAGGGUUCGAUUCCGGAGAGGGAGCCUGAGAAACGGCUACCACAUCCAAGGAAGGCAGCAGGCGCGCAAAUUACCCACUCCCGGCUCGGGGAGGUAGUGACGAAAGAUAACGAUGCAGGACUCUUAUGAGGCCCUGUAAUCGGAAUGACUACAUUUUAAAUCUCUUAAGGAGUAUCAAUUGGAGGGCAAGUCUGGUGCCAGCAGCCGCGGUAAUUCCAGCUCCAAUAGCGUAUAUUAAAGUUGUUGCGGUUAAAAAGCUCGUAGUUGGAUCUGUGCCCUGCACCGCCGGUGCCCGCUCUGCGGUGCGACUGGCAGGUCUGUGGGGCGUCCUGCCGGUGGGAGGUCUUGCCGGCGGCGGUCCUCCGUCCCCAUGUCUCGCGAGUCUGGGCAGACCGUCACGCGUGUCCAGUCGGCCGGCUCUGUCGGGGGGGCCUCGUUCCCACCCACAGAGUCCCGGUACGUGCGGCGCGGGCACUCCCCUCGCAGCUGGGGCGAGCCGUCGAUGCGCGCGCUCCCGGUUAUCCGAUCCUGCCGAAGGUGCUCUUUACCGAGUGUCGAGGCGGGCCGGCAUUUUUACUUUGAACAAAUUAGAGUGCUUAAAGCAGGCUGGUGAAGCCUGAAUGCUGUGUGCAUGGAAUAAUGGAAUAGGACCUCGGUUCUAUUUUCUUUUGGUUUUCUGAACCAGAGGUAAUGAUAAACGGAGACAGGCGGGGGCAUUCGUAUUGCGACGUUAGAGGUGAAAUUCUUGGAUCGUCGCAAGACGAACAGAAGCGAAAGCAUUUGCCAAGGAUGUUCUCGUUGAUCAAGAACGAAAGUCAGAGGUUCGAAGGCGAUCAGAUACCGCCCUAAUUCUGACCGUAAACGCUGCCAUCUGGUUAUUCGCCCACGUUAAAACCUUAAUGACUGGGCGAGCAACCCUCGGGAAACCAAAGAUUUUGGGUUCCGGGGGAAGUAUGGUUGCAAAGCUGAAACUUAAAGGAAUUGACGGAAGGGCACCACCAGGAGUGGAGCCUGCGGCUUAAUUUGACUCAACACGGGAAACCUCACCAGGCCCGGACACUGGAAGGAUUGACAGAUUGAUAGCUCUUUCUUGAUUCAGUGGGUGGUGGUGCAUGGCCGUUCUUAGUUGGUGGAGCGAUUUGUCUGGUUAAUUCCGAUAACGAACGAGACUCUAGCCUGCUAACUAGUCGAUGAAUUCAAUCCGGCAUCCUCUGACGGCUGCCGGCGAAAACAACUCUUCUUAGAGGGACAGGCGGCUCCUAGCCGCACGAGAUUGAGCAAUAACAGGUCUGUGAUGCCCUUAGAUGUUCUGGGCCGCACGCGCGCUACAAUGAAGGUAUCAACGUGUGUCCCUUGGCCGAGAGGCCCGGGUAACCCGCUGAACCACCUUCGUGCUUGGGACUGGGGCUUGAAAUUGUUCCCCAUGAACGAGGAAUUCCCAGUAAAGGCGUGUCACUAGCACGCCUUGAUUACGUCCCUGCCCUUUGUACACACCGCCCGUCGCUACUACCGAUUGAAUGAAUUAGUGAGGGUCUUCGGACCCAGCGCGCGGUUCUCGUCCCUCGGGACCCCCGUC